UUUUNGAGGAAAGCAGGGGAUCGCAAGACCUUGCGCUUUUGGAGCGGCCGAUGUCUGAUUAGCUAGUUGGUGAGGUAAAGGCUUACCAAGGCUUCGAUCAGUAGCUGGUCUGAGAGGACGACCAGCCACACUGGGACUGAGACACGGCCCAGACUCCUACGGGAGGCAGCAGUGGGGAAUUUUGGACAAUGGGGGAAACCCUGAUCCAGCCAUGCCGCGUGAGUGAAGAAGGCCUUCGGGUUGUAAAGCUCUUUCAGCCGGAACGAAAAGGUUACGGUUAAUACCCGUGACUAAUGACGGUACCGGAAGAAGAAGCACCGGCUAACUACGUGCCAGCAGCCGCGGUAAUACGUAGGGUGCGAGCNUUAAUNGGAAUU
rnacentral:rRNA from 1 species